rnacentral:rRNA from 1 species
AGAGUUUGAUCCUGGCUCAGGAUCAACGCUGGCGGCGUGCCUAAUGCAUGCAAGUCAUACGGGCAGCUUUCGGGCUGUCAGUGGUGAACGGCUGAGGAACACGUGCGUACCUGCCCGCUCGUGGGGAAUACCAGGUGGAAACACCUGCUAAUACCGCGUACGCUCCUUCGGGAGGAAAGCCUUCGGGCGCGGGCGGUGGGGCGCGCGGCCCAUCAGGUCGAUGGUAGGGUAAUGGCCUACCAUGCCGAUGACGGGUCGCUGGUCUGAGAGGACGGCCAGCCAGACUGGGACUGCGACACGGCCCAGACACCUACGGGUGGCAGCAGCAAGGAAUCUUCCGCAAUGGGCGCAAGCCUGACGGAGCAACGCCGCGUGGAGGACGACGGCCUUCGGGUUGUAAACUCCUUUUGUGGGGGACGAAACGGACGGUACCCCACGAAUCAGCCCCGGCUAACUCUGUGCCAGCAGCCGCGGUAAGACAGAGGGGGCAAGCGUUGUCCGGAUUUACUGGGCGUACAGCGCGCGCAGGCGGCUCGGUAGGUACCUGGUGACAUUCUCGUGCUCAACACGAGACGGUCUGGGUAGACCGCCGGGCUGGAGGCAGGGAGAGGGAUGUGGAAUACCCGGUGGAGCGGUGAAAUGCGUAGAGAUCGGGUGGAACACCAGUGGCGAAGGCGGCAUCCUGGCCCUGACCUGACGCUGAGGCGCGAUAGCGUGGGGAGCAAACGGGAUUAGAUACCCUAGUAGUCC